rnacentral:rRNA from 1 species
GACGAACGCUGGCGGCGUGCCUAAUACAUGCAAGUAGAACGCUGAAGACUUUAGCUUGCUAAAGUUGGAAGAGUUGCGAACGGGUGAGUAACGCGUAGGUAACCUGCCUACUAGCGGGGGAUAACUAUUGGAAACGAUAGCUAAUACCGCAUAACAGCAUUUAACCCAUGUUAGAUGCUUGAAAGGAGCAAUUGCUUCACUAGUAGAUGGACCUGCGUUGUAUUAGCUAGUUGGUGAGGUAACGGCUCACCAAGGCGACGAUACAUAGCCGACCUGAGAGGGUGAUCGGCCACACUGGGACUGAGACACGGCCCAG